CAACAGCAGCAGUGCCUGUGUGCGUCCAUCCGUACUGGGCUGUAUUACAGCUUCUUCACACCUUAAGCCCAUGAGAAAUCUAGGGUUUGCUGUGAGAGAUUCAGUGUUUGCCCACUUAACCAAUGGGAGAUUUCACAGCCCCAGCUGACAACAGGAGCCUGAAAUCCACACAAGGUCCACCUCUGGAAGUGCUUUGAUUUUGAUCCUGCGCUCCCGGUAGGAUCAGCCCCUGGAGCCCACCUUUGAACGGGACCUUCUACGCGCGCAGACACACACAUACCAUUCGACGUCGUCCCCCUCUCUAUCUUUCUGUGUAUAUCCUUUUUUCCCCCUCCUAUGGAGAAUAUUCUCAGGGAGCUAUACUGGAAUGAAGGAGAUAUCAAGGAGGCCUGUCAGUUCAAAGCUUUUUAAGGUUUGUUUGAAAAUCCUCUUCCCGUCAAAGUAAGCAGCCCUAGUAUUUGAACAGCUGCUUUGAACAGUGAUGGGCGGGAAGGAGAAGAAGGACUGAGCUGAAUGAAGAAAGAAAGAAAGAAAGAAAGAAAGAAAGA